GUAAAGUUCUUCUGGAUGUAAGUGUGAUGAGAGCAGGGCAGCAUGAGACCUGAGAGCCCUGGAGAAGCACAGACAGCAAGGAAGCCCUGGGGCAGCUCAGCCAGCCUGGGUCCCCUUUACCCUCAGCUCCAUGGGCUCAGACUCCGUCCUCUCUGUUUCUUCCACCAGGUGGCGCCAUUGGACAAGAAUGGGACGCUUCUCUACCAUCUUCAACAGAGCUCUCUUCAUUGGCUGGUGGUCCACUGUUGUCUGAACAGCACUGUGCCCUCCGCCCCUGGCCUCACACUCUCGAUGUGUAGAAGAAAGACAGGCAGGAUUAUUAAAAUCAUAUUUUUAUAUUUUA